UAGAACAACGUUUUUUUACGU
rnacentral:piRNA from 1 species